rnacentral:rRNA from 1 species
AUACGGAGGGGGCAAGCGUUAUUCGGAUUUAUUGGGCGUAAAGGGCGCGUAGGCGGCUUGAUAAGUCAAAGGUGAAAUCCCUCGGCUCAACCGAGGAACUGCCUUUGAAACUGUCUGGCUAGAGUCCGGGAGAGGGUAGUGGAAUUCCCAGUGUAGCGGUGAAAUGCGUAGAUAUUGGGAGGAACACCAGUGGCGAAGGCGACUACCUGGACCGGUACUGACGCUGAGGCGCGAAAGCGUGGGGAGCAAACAGGAUUAGAUACCCCGGUAGUCC